UACGGGGGGGGUAAGCGUUGUUCGGAAUUACUGGGCGUAAAGGGCUCGUAGGCGGCCAACUAAGUCAGACGUGAAAUCCCUCAGCUUAACUGGGGAACUGCGUCUGAUACUGGAUGGCUUGGAUCCGGGAGAGGGAUGCGGAAUUCCAGGUGUAGCGGUGAAAUGCGUAGAUAUCUGGAGGAACACCGGUGGCGAAGGCGGCGCUCUGGGCCGGAACUGACGCUGAGGAGCGAAAGCGUGGGUAGCAAACAGG
rnacentral:rRNA from 1 species